AUGUAGUGUGACAUGCCCGUUUUGGGAUAUACUCUGAUGUGUUUAUUUAUUAUUUAAUUGAUUUUGGGUAACGGGGUGUUACAAACUGCA
rfam:Medicago truncatula strain A17 chromosome 7, whole genome shotgun sequence.